UACGGGGGGGGUAAGCGUUGUUCGGAAUUACUGGGCGUAAAGGGCUCGUAGGCGGCGUGGUAAGUCACUUGUGAAAUCUCCGAGCUUAACUCGGAACGGUCAAGUGAUACUGCUGUGCUAGAGUGCGGAAGGGGCAACUGGAAUUCUCGGUGUAGCGGUGAAAUGCGUAGAUAUCGAGAGGAACACCUGCGGCGAAGGCGGGUUGCUGGGCCGACACUGACGCUGAGGCGCGAAAGCUAGGGGAGCGAACGGG
rnacentral:rRNA from 1 species